rnacentral:rRNA from 1 species
UACGUAGGUGACAAGCGUUGUCCGGAUUUACUGGGCGUAAAGAGCGCGCAGGCGGUCGAUCAAGUCGAGUGUGAAAGCCCCCGGCUCAACUGGGGAGGGUCAUUCGAUACUGAUCGACUCGAAGGCAGGAGAGGGUAGUGGAAUUCCCGGUGUAGUGGUGAAAUGCGUAGAUAUCGGGAGGAACACCGGUGGCGAAGGCGGUUCUCUGGGCCUGACCUGACGCUGAGGAGCGAAAGCGUGGGGAGCGAACAGG